AGAGUUUGAUCCUGGCUCAGAUUGAACGCUGGCGGCAGGCCUAACACAUGCAGGUCGAGCGGAAACGGCAGUAUUGAAGCUUCGGUGGAUUUACUGGACGUCGAGCGGCGGACGGGUGAGUAACGGCUGGGAACCUGCCCUGAUGAGGGGGAUAACCGUUGGAAACGACGGCUAAUACCGCAUAAUGUCUUAGUUCAUUACGAGCUGGGACCAAAGGUGGCCUCUACAUGUAAGCUAUCGCGUUGGGAUGGGCCCAGUUAGGAUUAGCUAGUUGGUAAGGUAAUGGCUUACCAAGGCAACGAUCCUUAGCUGGUUUGAGAGGAUGAUCAGCCACACUGGGACUGAGACACGGCCCAGACUCCUACGGGAGGCAGCAGUGGGGAAUAUUGCACAAUGGGGGAGACCCUGAUGCAGCCAUGCCGCGUGUGUGAAGAAGGCCUUCGGGUUGUAAAGCACUUUCAGCAGUGAGGAAGGUCGUGUACUUAAUACGUGCACGGCUUGACGUUAGCUGCAGAAGAAGCACCGGCUAACUCCGUGCCAGCAGCCGCGGUAAUACGGAGGGUGCGAGCGUUAAUCGGAAUUACUGGGCGUAAAGCGCAUGCAGGCGGUUUGUUAAGUCAGAUGUGAAAGCCCGGGGCUCAACCUCGGAACCGCAUUUGAAACUGGCAGGCUAGAGUCUUGUAGAGGGGGGUAGAAUUUCAGUGUAGCGGUGAAAUGCGUAGAGAUCUGAAGGAAUA
rnacentral:rRNA from 1 species